rnacentral:lncRNA from 1 species
GAAGGUUUUCGGAGCUAGAGAAUCAAAAAUCUGCAAACUGUAGUUUUUGAGCUCUCGGGGACCAGUCCCUGGUGGGAGAGACCGGUCCCCGAAUGCGUAAAAAUUGAGAAAGCUGAAAAAUUGACUAAGUCCCUGUCACGCCCCGCACUAACCCCGAGGCCGAUACCAAUUUGGUCCGGAUCGGGCGCGGCGAGCGGACCGCCGGACGAGCAGCACUUCCCCUGUCCGCCCAAGGAUCAAGGAGCAAGAUUGUGUACAACAAGUUCCCAGGAAACACUUGGAUACAUAUACACAAUCCUACAACAACAACAAAGCACAAUCAGUGCCUAUCAACCAAGAGCAAGCAACACAAGUAAAGCAUACAAGUGAUAAAAGAGAGAGAGAUGUACUUAACUAAUAAACUCACUUACUUUAUACAUCCAUUCAUCUUUUACAUUCUUCCAAAAGUAUACAACAUAUACAAUCCUCC